rnacentral:lncRNA from 10 species
GUCAUUUCUUCCAGUGAGCCAGACAGGGGAAGAAAUACUAUGAGAGAGAGAGAGAGACUGUGUGUGCGUGUGUGUGUGUGUGUGUAUGUGUGUGUGUGUGUGUGUGUUUAAGUGAGAAACAGGCAGGGCAGCUAGAAAGGGAGUCAAAUGACCUUGAAAAAGACUGUGUGUGUAUGUGUGCGUGUGUGUGUGUGAGAGAGAGAGAGAGAGAGAGAGACAGGCAGGGCAGCUAGAAAGGGAGUCAAAUGACCUUGACCGAUUUCCCCAGCAACAGGCUUAGUCAGAUUCACUUAGGAUACACUAAUAAAUUUUAUUUAAAUCACUGUAUUUUUGGGGAACUGAUUCAGGACUGCCCAGCUUCUACCAUAACAGAGUGGGGUGCAAUGGUUACUUACACAGGCUC